rnacentral:misc_RNA from 1 species
UAGGAGCAGAGCCUGAGCCAGGUU